rfam:Charadrius vociferus contig24127, whole genome shotgun sequence.
GGAUGUGAGGGCGAUCUGGCUGCGACAUCUGUCACCCCAUUGAUCGCCAGGGUUGAUUCGGCUGAUCUGGCUGGCUAGGCGGGUGUCCCCUUCCUCCCUCACCGCUCCAUGUGCGUCCCUCCCGAAGCUGCGCGCUCGGUCGAAGAGGACGACCUUCCCCGAUAGAGACGUACCGUUCAUCGGUCAAGGGUAUACGGUAGCUGCGCUCCCCUGCUAGAACCUCCAAACAAGCUCAAGGUCCAUUUGUAGGAGAACGUAGGGUAGUCAAGCUUCCAAGACUGCAGACACAUCCAAGUGAGGCACUGCAUGGGGCAGUCUGCCAUUGUUU